UGUCUCUCUGGACUUUUCUAAUUCUAAGUAUUUCUUAUGUUUCUACAAAUCUAACAAGAGUGAGUCUAGCUUAUAGGAUCAUAUGACUACCAGGGAAUAUUGCAUAGUUAACACUACAGCCAAACCCUUCUUAUUUCUUCUGCUAAGUGUUUGAUGGAAUUAUUUAUACACUGGGGUUUCUAGAUUCUGACUGAGUAGCCAAUGCCAGAAGAAAAGAUGAGAGUUGUGGCCUUUAAGCUGUUGAAAAGCUGUAUUUCUCAUAAUCUAAGUGGCUCUGACACUAUGCACCAGAGCCUGACAAUUAAAUUUCCCUCUAAAUUUCUACCAGGGGACAUGUCAUAUUGUGAGCUGAACCACUCUGAUGUGAAGGCAUCUCUUCUCUCCCAUCAGCACCUAAGAAGCUGUCAGUGCCAGUUUCCUUGUUAGUAACCAGUCUGCUUGCUGUGACAGUACCCCACAGUUUAUAUCAAAUGAAAAGGCUGCUCUCUGGAAACACAGGAGCGACAGCUGAGGAACGGAGUAGGGCUGGGGAGGUUUGCAGAAGGCCCCAGGGCCGGAAUUAACUGUGCUGCUCACUUCACCAGAACAAGAGAAGCGAGCACUGCUCAGACCAAAAGGCAACACUCUGCUCCGUGAUGUAUGCAUGGUGCUGAGAGCGCAUUUCCAGGGCUGCCCCAAGAAAGCCUGGGUUUACGACUGCAGUUUCCCUGCUUUGCAUCAGUACAAGCAAGGCAGUGUCCUCCAAAGUAGAUGCUGUGAUGUUAGCAAACUAACCAACGAACCCCACUCCUCUGCCCCAUGCCCGCCAUGGCACGGGAAACGCAUCAUACUCCGUAUGCAUCCUCACCUGCACCUCUGUUGCAGGGCCUGCGAGGUUUGGUCCUCACCCCAAGCACUCUAAGGCCCUUGAGCAAAAGGGUCUCAAGGACACUUGCUAAGCAUGAUUUGUCACAGAAAGACCAGGGAUCACAAGACAGAUGGCUGUUAGCCUCCUUGGAAGAAAUAAAACAAGGGCAUCAACAUGAGAAAAUUUUCCACAGAAUUCCAUGUGAUUAUCUUGGGGGAUAGGGAGAUGAGAAAUGGAAGGUGGAACAAAACCUCUGGAAUCCUAGAAGAUCACAACCAUAAAGAGCUGGAUCUGCUGCGGGGGAAGCAGGACACACAGCAGACUCAUAGAAUGGCAAAUGCCCAAAACAGCACUCCUGCCUCAGAAUCAACCCUUGGGACAUUCGGAUCUGACUAGAAGGUACAUGAGAGUCUCACAGGCAUGGAAAGCCAUGACACGGUGGCAAAAAACAAUCUAAAUGAAGGAUCCUGGUGAACAACACCUCAGCAGAAGGAUCAGGCCAUCAAGGAGAGAGGCACCUUUCUCUGAAGGGAGGAAGGAACCUCCACUGUGAUACGGCCUUGACUAAACAAAUUCAGAGUUGGUGAACUCAAGGGGCUUCCAUAGCCUAGACAGCUCAUAGCAAGAGUCUCAGGUGAUUGCUGACAUCAUAAAUAAGAGUGCCAAUUGUUAAAUCAACAACAGGAGUCACUGGGUUCAUGUUCCCCAUGCAGGAUCUCUGUCCUUAAUAUGUUUAACUAUGAAACUCAAAAACAACACUACUAGUCGAACAAUACCCUAUACCUGGUUCGGUUGUGUGAGUGCAACCUGUUGAAAUCCCUGCUUAGUAUAUACUAAGUUGAUCUUCAGUAUAUGAAGGUUAUUUCUGAGAUUCAUCCGAAGCAUUGCGUGGAGCUACAGGCCUUGCUCUGCACUCUCCAGUGCCCACCAUCAACACCACAGAUGCCCGUGCUGCUGGGGCUGGGCACCUCGGCAGCUUCCAGCUGCAGGCUGUUUCAGAAGGUGCUACUCUAAACAUCCUGAUGCACAUUUUUGAAUGGAAGCGGCUCCUGGGAUGAGCACUCCCUUUCCUCCCCCGGUGGCCUGUGAUCUCCUUCGAGCUCGGCCUCAGCCCAGCUGUGCCUCAUUAAAAGCAUUUCACUGUCGACUGGUGAAUGAGAAGGAACCCAGUGCCAGCGCAAGAGCCUCCUUUCAUUCAACCCCAAAGUCCUAAAAAGGCAAAACCUUGUGAGCCAAAAUAAAGCUUUUUUCUUUAGUAUUAUUUUUGUUCUGUAAAAAGGAGAGAGAGAAAAUCUCUUUCCUGAUAACAAUACCUGACAGUGCUUUAGCUUUUCCGAGCCCUCAUCCCAUAUUCUCUCCUUAGAGCACUCUCAGAUUAGCAAUUGUCACAGCCAAGUGGUUGUAAUGAUGUGCUUAGGC